GCUUGAUGCUUGAGAGGGUACUACUAUAGUGUUCUCAUUCAAAGAAACUGAACUCCUACCCAUCUGAAAACUGUUUGACGAAACAGAGGGAACUACUAGACAUGAUGGCUGUACGUUGAUAGCAUGAUUGGAUUCUGGUGGCACAGUGUAGGGCUGUUUCUUUUCUAACAUAUGCAUUACCAAGUUGCCAUUGUGAUUACUGUUGACCCCUCUGGAAGAACCUGUAGUACCAAGAUGAU
rnacentral:misc_RNA from 1 species